rnacentral:RNase_P_RNA from 1 species
GGAGUCGGCCAGGCGACCGCGGCGACGGCGCGUGGGCACAGCCCGCGACCGGCGCCGAGGAAAGUCCGGACUCCGCAGGGCAGGGUGCUGGGUAACGCCCAGGCGCGGCGACGCGCGGACAGUGCCACAGAAAGCAGACCGCCUGAAGCCUGCGAGCGGGAAGUAUGCCGAAAGGCGUAAACCGACCGCGGGCACAGGUAAGGGUGAAACGGUGCGGUAAGAGCGCACCAGCGUCCGAGGUGACUCGGGCGGCUCGGUAAACCCCACCUGGAGCAAGGCCAAGCAGGGACAGGGUGGCCCGCCCGGUACGUCCCAGGUAGGCCGCACGAGGCGUCGGGUAACCGGCGUCCCAGAUAGAUGGCCGCCACCCGGUAGCCCCGGCGACCGGGAACAGAAUCCGGCUUACGGCCGGCUCCCUCC